rnacentral:sRNA from 12 species
GACCUAAACUUUCAGAUUGUCUGGAAGCAUGGUCACAAAUCGCUCUAGACGGCAGAAAGCCCGUCAUUUAGGGAUACGUCUAGAGCGUCAUAGGGGGAAACUUCUAUGGGGUCGCAAGACCC